rnacentral:rRNA from 1 species
UACGUAGGGUGCAAGCGUUGUCCGGAAUUAUUGGGCGUAAAGAGCUCGUAGGCGGUUUGUCGCGUCUGCUGUGAAAACUCGGGGCUUAACUCCGGGCCUGCAGUGGGUACGGGCAGACUAGAGUGCGGUAGGGGAGACUGGAAUUCCUGGUGUAGCGGUGAAAUGCGCAGAUAUCAGGAGGAACACCGGUGGCGAAGGCGGGUCUCUGGGCCGAUACUGACGCUGAGGAGCGAAAGCAUGGGGAGCGAACAGG